rnacentral:misc_RNA from 1 species
CUUUGAGGCCUUCAUAGCUUUGGCUUCCAUGGUUACUGGCAUUGGUUGGUGGUCAGUUCAGUAGGAAGUUACAGUGGAGGUUACGUUCAUUUGGGAGUUGCAAGAGCAGCUAGGGUUCUUUUGUGUUUUGAAAGAGAUAGCAUCCCAGGUUAAGAAUUUAAGUCGAGUCUUGAGUUGAAUCCUCAAGCUGUUAGGGUUUUAAUUAGACUUGGGCCUAAGUUUGUGACUGUAUCUUUUUAUUUAAUUGGGGGCUUUUAAGUCGUUGAAUUUGG